GAAAGAGGUAACUGAACUGUCUUGUUUGUAGAUAAAUGAGAGACUGAGUUCCUCAGUUCCGAAGAGAAGGGGCAUUUUACUCCUUCCAGCCUUGGCAGCCAUGGAUUACCAGGGUCCUGAGUGGGAGUUGCCUGGGGCGAUUCCCCAAGGUGCGAGUGGCCCUAUCGGGAACUCCCCCCAACAAAUUAAUUAAAAGAAAGCUCUUCCAGGAAACACAUAUAAGAGCUGAUCAUUCGGCGUUUUGAGUCCCCUUGGAGGUACUGGACCUCCAAGAGAGAAACUGAGACACAUAAGAGGGUGCGACCGACGACUCAGUGGUGAGAUACUGAGGAUCCCCACCCACAGUCCGCACACUCUGAUCCACAACACCAAACCCUGUGUUACUGUUCAGUUGCUUCUUUUAAAGAAAAAUGGGAAAUCCUUUAAAAUUGAGGGAAGACAAGGAGAAUGACCCCCAUUGGGCACCCUAGUUGGUUUGUGGAACCUCUACUUGCAAGUAUUUUUGUAAAUGAAAAGAUUCAAAGGCAUGCCAAGUUUUUCUAGGGCUCCAGCUGGUUAUAGCUAAUUCUUGUGCACAGGUUUUUAUGAAAUGGCAAAUUACAUCAAGGAAAAUUCAGAGCUCAAAUGGUCAACCUACCACUAUAGAGUUAAAAUGUCUCAAGCUAUUUCUGUCUUUUCUGGCUACUCUAAAACUUGCUAACUUUUUCUGUUGAUGUUAAGAUAACUCAUUGUUUUUGGUAUUUACAAUUGAAAGGCUACCUGGAGAUCCAGCCCCCAGUUCUAGCUAAAAUGCAAACAUCAAAAACUGAUUUUGAACUGAAGAAAAAAAAAGGGUAAAGGUUUUUUUAAAAAAUCAAACUGUCAUGGAAACUGCUUUCCCCAAAACUUUGAUCCACAGGCCUAAUUAGGUUACCUAUCAGGGCAACUAAAGUUUGCCAUGUGGACAAGCUCCAGUUUCGUCAGAGGAAAUUUGGAUCCAGCUGUCUUUUACAGACCGAGUCCUGACAAAUUUUAAGUAAAUGGCAAGUUUACCUGAUCUCUGGGACCUAGAACCUUGGAAUCUGCCAAAGCCCUGUUGAAAUAUCCUCCCUCUAGGCCCAGGGACUAUUGCGGAAGAGGGGGCGUGUGAGAUUGUAAGGGCUGAUUCUGAGGGAUGGAAUUAGUUUAGGCCCUCCAGAUCAAGAAGGGGCACACAGAAGCCUAAGAGAAUAAUAACUAAAAUACUUUGUCUUUUCAGACCACAUGCUACGAAGAUCCAUCCCAAUCAUAAAAUUUUUUUCCUGCUUCCUAUAGACUUAGAACUUCCUGAGUAUAAUUUUUCUCAGUUAUGGAUUUAUACAAAAGAAAACAUAAUGAGUAAUUUAUCAGCCACCUUAGUAUAAAUUACUAAAGAGACUAAAAUAUGACACAAUAAAAGUCUCUAAAUUCACUUAGCUUAAAUAUUAAUGAUGCUUAUAUUUGUUACAAGUCUACCACUGAGCCUAAGAAUAUAGUAGCUCAACACUUACAGAUAAAUUAGUUUUGUAGCCUUGCCUUUGACAUUUUGGAUUUUACUCUUAUGUCACCUAGAAGAUUUUAAAGUGUUGAUGAGUGCCUGUCUACCUCCAGUCCUCUUAGGCCUAAAAUAUUUAAUUGGCUGUAAGCCCUCUUUUGGCUCUAAAGUCCUCUUGGCCACAAGGGUCCCACCGAGGGACUGGAUGGACCCAGGGCAGGUAGCCACACCACCCUGGCAACGGAUGGGACAAAAUAAGAGUUUGGCCAUAGAUGCUGCCUCUGACAUAUCUUCGCCAAAAGGAGGGAAUUGUGAACUAAAAAUUUUAAGGCUCAACCCCUCCACCGGCUGACUAAAU